rnacentral:rRNA from 1 species
CCUACGGGGGGCAGCAGUGAGGAAUUUUCCGCAAUGGGGGAAACCCUGACGGAGCAAUACUACGUGAAGGAAGAAGGUCUAAGGAUUGUAAACUUCUGUUAGCGCGGAAGAAGAGUUAAUAGCUUUGACGGUACGCGCAGAGAAAGCCACGACUAACUAUGUGCCAGCAGUCGCGGUAAGACAUAGGUGGCGAACGUUAUCCGGAAUUAUUGGGCGUAAAGGGUGCGUAGAUCGCAUGAUAAGUUAUCGGUGGCAAAUCGGGGCCUAACCCCGCGGAAGUCGAUAAUACUGUUAUGCUUGAGUUCAGAAGAGGUUGGUGGAACUCCAUGUGGAGCGGUAAAAUGCGUAGAUAUAUGGAAGAAUGUCGAUAAAGGCGAAGGCAGCUAACUAUUCUGUUACUGACGUUGAGGCACGAAAGCGUGGGGAGCAAAAAGGAUUAGAUACCCCAGUAGUC